rnacentral:tRNA from 1 species
UCGGGUGUAGCUCAGUUGGUAGAGCGGCGCACUGUUAAUGCGCUGGUCACAGGUUCGAGUCCUGUCGCUCGAG